CCCCCCCCCCCCCCCCCCCCCCCCCCCCCCCCCCCCCCCCCCCCCCCCCCCCCCCCCCCCCCCCCCCCGGCCCGUGCCCGGCCCCGUGUAGGAGGUGUCGGUGAUCUCGCCCCGCUCCAUCUUGAACUCGUGCUCCAGCUGCAUCUUCUUGGAGAUGACGUUUUUGAGGAGACUGGAGGCGAACCUGGACUUCUUGCUGGACCCCUUCCCGCCGCCCUCCACAGCCGGCGGCUCCCCGGCCUCGGCGGCAUCGCCGAGGUCCAGCAGGGUCACCACCCGGGAGCCCGCCCGCAGCCGCCGCGGCGUUUCGACGUGGGCGAUUUCCCCGUCGAGCUUGCUGACCACGAACUCGAGGGCUUUGGUCUGCGAGCGGCCGGAGCGCAGCAGGCUGGGCUCGGCUCUCGGCCCCAGGCUGCCGCACUUGAGGUCCAGUGUAGAUAGACAUACUGGUCUGGAGCAUCCAGUGGUCAUUGCCAAAUUCUUCUAUUACAUCAAAGGCCACAGGGUGGCAAAGAUUGCUUGGUGCUUGGCUUCUGCACAGUGAGAUGACAGUCUGGAAACUGAGGUCCUCAGCACUUGGAUUGGUGGAGCCAAAUGGAGCUCCCACUCCAGCAGCAUGAACUCCACCGUUUGGACAUGCAGGUUACAGGCCCUUCCCACAGGAGGAACACAGGACAAGGAACAAAACAAAGCUUCAGAUGCUACAGCAGAAGAUGGUCUUCCAUGUGGAGUCCAUAAAAGGCCAGGUCUUCAUGUGUUCCAGGUCUUCAGAGCCUAAAAUGGACUGAUGGCACUUCAAGGCCCUGAUGAUGAUUCAUGCUGCAAAUAAACUUCGGAAGGCAGCAGGUGCCAGCACUCAUCAGAGGAUGAAGUGCAAUUGUUUUCUAGUCAACAGAGUAAUUUGAAAAGUAUUUGUGCCACCUUGCUAAAAGCACAAACUGUGUCACAUUUAUUUUUAGGUGCAGAUAUCUGUCCAGGAAGAAACCACAACCAGUUAUGUCACACAUCAAUAAGAGCUACCUGCUGUUAUCAUCACAGAGUUUACUACAGUGCUUUUUUAAAUGGCCAGCGACCCAAAUCCAAGGUUAUGCUUUUCCUUGCCACAUGGCAGGGUAUCUAAGCUUUAACUUACAUCACAAACUACCUGCUUUCUCAGGAAGUAAAAUACUCCCUGGGAUGGAGGUAUUGGGCAGGGAAGAGAGACUAUGAGGAGCAGGGUUCCUUGACACCCUUCUAUCUGACACUUUUGUCCAUUUAAUCAUAAAAAUUAUCCCACACUUCUUUGAAUCAUAAAAAGACCCCAAACAACUCCUAUAUCAUCAACAAAGCUUGUGCUUCAGAGCAGACACAUGAAUCUUAGCAAAGGAUGUGUGAAUCUACUUGUAUACAAAUGAAGAGGGUUAUGUCAAAAGAAAGAACUUUCUGAAAAAC
rnacentral:lncRNA from 12 species